UUGAAAUUGCGGUGAAGAUGCCGUAUACCCGCGGCUAGACGGAAAGACCCCGUGCACCUUUACUAUAGCUUUACACUGGACUUUGAAUACAUUUGUGUAGGAUAGGUGGGAGGCUUUGAAGCGUAAUCGCUAGAUUGCGUGGAGCCAACCUUGAAAUACCACCCUGAUGUGUUUGGAGUUCUAACUUAGACCCAUUAUCUGGGUUGAGGACAGUGUAUGGUGGGUAGUUUGACUGGGGCGGUCUCCUCCUAAAGAGUAACGGAGGAGCACAAAGGUACCCUAAGGGCGGUCGGAAAUCGCUCGAUUAGUGCAAUGGCAUAAGGGUGCUUGACUGCGAGACAGACACGUCGAGCAGGGACGAAAGUCGGUCAUAGUGAUCCGGUGGUUCUGUAUGGAAGGGCCAUCGCUCAACGGAUAAAAGGUACGCCGGGGAUAACAGGCUGAUUCCUCCCAAGAGUUCAUAUCGACGGGGGAGUUUGGCACCUCGAUGUCGGCUCAUCACAUCCUGGGGCUGAAGCAGGUCCCAAGGGUAUGGCUGUUCGCCAUUUAAAGYGGUACGCGAGCUGGGUUYAGAACGUCGUGAGACAGUUCGGUCCCUAUCUGCCGUGGGCGUUUGAGAGUUGAGAGGGGUUGCUCCUAGUACGAGAGGACCGGAGUGAACGAACCUCUGGUGUUCGGGUUGUCACGCCAGUGGCACUGCCCGGUAGCUAUGUUCGGAAUCGAUAACCGCUGAAAGCAUCUAAGCGGGAAGCGAGCCUCAAGAUAAGCUCUCACUGACAUGUAAUUGUCCUGAAGGGUUGUUGGAGACUACAACGUUGAUAGGCGGGGUGUGGAAGCGUAGUAAUGCGUUGAGCUAACCCGUACUAAUUGCCCGUGAGGCUUAACCAUACAACACCGAAGGUGUUU
rnacentral:rRNA from 1 species